AUUGAACGCUGGCGGCAUGCCUUACACAUGCAAGUCGAACGGCAGCACGGGAGCAAUCCUGGUGGCGAGUGGCGAACGGGUGAGUAAUAUAUCGGAACGUGCCCAGUCGUGGGGGAUAACGUAGCGAAAGCUACGCUAAUACCGCAUACGAUCUAUGGAUGAAAGCGGGGGAUCGCAAGACCUCGCGCGAUUGGAGCGGCCGAUAUCAGAUUAGGUAGUUGGGGGGGUAAAGGCUCACCAAGCCGACGAUCUGUAGCUGGUCUGAGAGGACGACCAGCCACACUGGGACUGAGACACGGCCCAGACUCCUACGGGAGGCAGCAGUGGGGAAUUUUGGACAAUGGGCGCAAGCCUGAUCCAGCAAUGCCGCGUGCAGGAUGAAGGCCGUCGGGUUGUAAACUGCUUUUGUACGGAGCGAAAAGGCUUCCACUAAUACUGGGGGCUCAUGACGGUACCGUAAGAAUAAGCACCGGCUAACUACGUGCCAGCCGCCGCAGUAAGAC
rnacentral:rRNA from 1 species